rnacentral:rRNA from 1 species
AACGAACGCUGGCGGCAUGCUUAACACAUGCAAGUUGAACGCAGGAUAGGACUUCGGUUCUAUUGCUGAGUAGCAAACGGGUGAGUAACGCGUGGGAAUCUACCUUUUUGUGGGGGAUAACUGAGGGAAACUUCAGCUAAUACCGCAUAAGCUCUACAGAGGAAAGGCUUCGGCCGCAAGAAGAGGAGCCCGCGUCAGAUUAGGUAGUUGGUAGGGUAAAAGCCUACCAAGCCAAUGAUCUGUAGCUGGUCUGAGAGGAUGAUCAGCCACACUGGGACUGAGACACGGCCCAGACUCCUACGGGAGGCAGCAGUGGGGAAUAUUGGACAAUGGGGGAAACCCUGAUCCAGCAAUGCCGCGUGAAUGAAGAAGGCCUUAGGGUUGUAAAGUUCUUUUACCUGUGAAGAUUAUGACGGUAGCAGGAGAAGAAGCCCCGGCUAACUCCGUGCCAGCCGCCGCGGUAA